rnacentral:lncRNA from 1 species
AGACAAAAUGUAUAGUUAAUUAUUUUUUAUAUAAAUUUAAUAAUCCAUAUAUGACGAGGAAUCUAAAAUUUAAUUUUUUUUUUUGAAAAACUAAACAAGGACACAUGUAUAUGCGUAGAGUAAUUGCGUAUCGGUAUGCCUGUCCGAAUCCGACGGCCCGUGCACGCCGUACCGGCCGUACUCCGCAGGUGCCUGAUCCAUCCACUACGGUCAUUGGCGAAAAGCAUUUGCCAUCGUACUACAUGGUUGAUGGAUCAUUAGCGUACCGACGAAUCCUACGGCUGCGUGGUGCGCCGAGUACGUAGCUUUUCCACCACAUACGACGACCGCGAGGAGGCAGAGGGAGGAGGCACGCUUGGUGCCACGUGACCAUCCAUCUAUCAGCCCUGUUUUGUUUGUUGUUUUUUUCUCCUGCGAUGGCGCAGCCUUGUUUACUUGCAAAAUAUUAUGCAAAAUAUAAAUAGUAUUAAUUUUAUUUGUAUUUUAUAAAUAUUAUUCAAUUAUAAACUAACUAGUCUUAAAAGAUUCGUAUCAUCAAUUCCUAUCAAACUGUGUAAUUAAUUUUUAUUUUCGUCUGUAUUUAAUACUUCAUACCGCGGGUGCGCUCCGCAAGUGUGCCCCUGCCCGCGCUGCCCCGCUGCGCGCGCGCCUGGUUUUGCGUGGGCACGGCAGGUCCCUUUUCAGGC